UACAGAGGUCCCGAGCGUUUGUUCGGAUUCAUUGGGCGUAAAGGGUGCGUAGGCGGCGGGGUAAGUCUGAUGUGAAAUCCUGGGGCUCAACCCCAGAACUGCAUUGGAUACUGCCUUGCUAGAGUACUGGAGAGGAAACUGGAAUUUACGGUGUAGCAGUGAAAUGCGUAGAGAUCGUAAGGAAGACCAGUGGCGAAGGCGAGUUUCUGGACAGUAACUGACGCUGAGGCACGAAGGCCAGGGGAGCAAACGGG
rnacentral:rRNA from 1 species